AGACGGAGGGCGCAAGCGUUGUUCGGAAUUACUGGGCGUAAAGCGCGCGCAGGCGGAUGUGGCAAGUCGGGAGUGAAAUCCCGGGGCUUAACCCCGGGGCUGCUCCCGAUACUGCUCGUCUAGGGACCGGUAGAGGCUGGUGGAAUUCCCGGUGUAGCGGUGGAAUGCGUAGAGAUCGGGAGGAACACCUGUGGCGAAGGCGGCCAGCUGGGCCGGAUCCGACGCUGAGGCGCGAAAGCGUGGGGAGCAAACAGGAUUAGAUACCCUGGUAGUCCACGCCGUAAACGAUGGGUGCUAGAUGCCGGGGGGAGCGACCCCUUCGGUGUCGCAGCUAACGCGUUAAGCACCCCGCCUGGGGAGUACGGCCGCAAGGCUGAA
rnacentral:rRNA from 1 species